rnacentral:rRNA from 1 species
CUAUACAUGACUCUGCGCAUAUCAAUAAGCGGAGGAAAAGAGGGCUAUUACCUACGCUUAGGAUGUUGACGAGACUGUCGAUCACACCUAUACAUGACUCUGUGCAUAUCAAUAAGCGGAGGAAAAGAAACUAACAAGGAUUCCCCUAGUAACGGCGAGUGAAGCGGGAAGAGCUCAAAUUUGAAAUCUUAAAGGGUUUCCCCUUACGAAUUGUAGUUUAAAGAAGUGUUUUCUGUUGAGGUUUUGGUAAAAGUUCUUUGGAAUAGGACAUCAUAGAGGGUGAGAAUCCCGUAUUUGACCUUUACUUUCAACUUUGUGAUACACUUUCAAAGAGUCGGAUUGUUUGGGAAUGCAGUCCAAAAUGGGUGGUAAAUUUCAUCUAAAGCUAAAUAUUGGCGAGAGACCGAUAGCGAACAAGUACCGUGAGGGAAAGAUGAAAAGAACUUUGAAAAGAGAGUUAAACAGUACGUGAAAUUGUCAAAAGGGAAGCGUUUGACACCAGUGUUGUUUUUCUGAAAAUCAAUUAAAGAACUGUUUAUGCUAAGCUGUUUAGACUUUAUCAGCUAUCUGUUUAGUUUUGAGCUUUUCUUUAAUGCACUUUUCAGUUAACAAGUCAACAUCAAUUUCUUUUGCUGUAAAAAAGCUUGAGGAAGGUGGCUUGAGAUUCGUCUUAAGUGUUUAUAGCCUCUUGCCUAUGCAGUCGGAGAGAUUGAGGUCUGCAGCGUAGAUCCUUCGGGGCUAAAUGCAUUUGUGCUAAGUUAUAGCAUUUUAUAGACAACUUGUUGACUAUGAUUUGUCUUGUAGCUUACUCGCUUAUGUUAUUUUACCUACGCUUAGGAUGUUGACGAGACUGUCGAUCUC